CAUAGGGGUGAAAGGGUUAAGACGAAAUAAAUAAAAUAUAAUCAACAACAGUGUUUCGAGUGCAAACAAAAGCAGUGAAAUUAGACCCUGGACUUCAGAUUUACAUACUACAGUACCAGUAUAUCUCUCUAUCCGUUUGAGCUAGCUGGUCAACGGAAGUGUUCUCACCCAACUGUGCUACAGUUAUAUCCAAACGGAAGUUAAGGGGAGGUUACUGUAUAUAGGAAAACCAGUGCAGUUGGACAGGGAUCUUAAUAAAGAUAAAAAAGAAAAAGAAAUAAUCCCAAAAAUCCGGUUGGAUUGUAGGACAUAAGUAUAUAAGACUGGUGAUCGCUGGAUUAUCAAGGUUUGACUGCAGAUUAUCUAGGUUUGACUGCAGAUUAUCAAGGUUUGACUGCAGAUUAUCAAGGCUCAAAUAAAGAUUGAAGAGGCUUGACUAGAUUAUUGAGGCUGAACAUCACCAGGGCCGUCUUUGUUUAUCGCGAUCCAAACAGUCGGACCAGAGUUGUUUGUUUAUGAAAUGAGGUCAGACCUAGUAAUCUGAUACUUUUUUCAGACAAGCCUUGAUAAAGCCUUGCAAGGCCUGCAUGAACAUUUUGCAGGUCUGCCAGGAUUUAAACCCUAAAAUAUUACAUUUAAAAACAAACAGGUGGUUCCGCAUAAACAAACAGGUCCCAGGUACUCACAUUGAAAUUACUCUCUAAUGAUAAAAGUAUUUCAGCAUUUUCGAACUUUUAUCAUUCAGAAAAUAAAUUUUACAGUUCUUCACUUAUAUUUGUGUAUGAUGUCAUCAUGACUCACGUGUAUGGUGUUAGUGUUGUUAUGUAUGACUGUGUAAGUAUGGUAUCUAAUAACUUCAAAAUCAGUGUCUUUAUUUUUUUCCUUUUCCUUUUUCUGUAAUUCUUCUGUCUCUAUUUUUUUUUUAAAUGAAGUGAUAAUAACGUUCUUUUUCCACCCCCAUCUGUUACAUAUCUGUGACAUAUUGUAACGAGAAGUAUCAUGAUAUAUUCAUUGUUUCAAAGAAAAACUAAAUAUCAAUUCGUGAAUUUCCUUAUUUGAUAAUUUGUCAGUAUCUAUACAGCAUGCCUAAAGUUGGUUUCAUGUAAGUUAUACGGCUCGUUAAUUGAAGUGGGAUCUCAUACACUUUGUAAAAAUGAAACAAGACAUUCAGUAGAAACGACAAA